UACAGAGGGGGCAAGCGUUGUUCGGAAUUACUGGGCGUAAAGGGCGCGUAGGCGGCCUUCUAAGUCGAACGUGAAAUCCCUCGGCUCAACCGAGGAACUGCGUCCGAUACUGGCAGGCUGGAAUCCGGGAGAGGGAUGUGGAAUUCCAGGUGUAGCGGUGAAAUGCGUAGAUAUCUGGAGGAACACCGGUGGCGAAGGCGGCAUCCUGGACCGGUAUUGACGCUGAGGCGCGAAAGCUAGGGGAGCAAACGGG
rnacentral:rRNA from 1 species